UCCCCUAGUAACUGCGAGUGAAGCGGGAAAAGCUCAAAUUUAAAAUCUGGCAGAUGUUUGUCUGUCCGAGNUGUAACCUAGAGAAGUGUAACCUGUGCUGGACCGUGUACAAGUCUCCUGGAAUGGAGCAUCAUAGAGGGUGAGAAUCCCGUCUUUGACAUGGACUACCAGUGCACUGUGGUUGCACACUCAACGAGUCGAGUUGUUUGGGAAUGCAGCUCUAAAUGGGUGGUAAAUUCCAUCUAAAGCUAAAUAUUGGCGAGAGACCGAUAGCGAACAAGUACCGUGAGGGAAAGAUGAAAAGAACUUUGGAAAGAGAGUUAAACAGUAUGUGAAAUUGUUGAAAGGGAAACGCUUGAAGUCAGCUGCAUUAGCUGGGGAUCAAGCCAGCUUUUUUGCUGGGUGUACUUCCUGGUUGAUGGGCCAACAUCAGUUUUGACCAUCAGAGAAAGGCUAAGGGAAUGUGGCACCUUUAUAGGUGUGUUAUAGCCCUUGGUUGUAUGUGAUGGUUGGGACUGAGGACAGCAGUGUGCCGCAAGGCCGGGCUUCGACCACGUUCACGCUUUGGAUGUUGGCAUAAUGGCUUUAAGNGACCCGUCUUGAAACACGGACCAAGGAGUCUAACAUGCAUGCGAGUGUUUGGGUGGAAAACUCGAGCGCGUAAUGAAAGUGAAAGUUGAGAUCCCUCUCACAGGGGGAGCAUCGACGCCCGGACCAGAAC
rnacentral:rRNA from 1 species